UCGCGGGUGCACCGCCGACCGACC
rnacentral:siRNA from 1 species